rnacentral:tRNA from 1 species
AGUUAAUUAACUUAAAAAAGUUUGUAUUUUGAAAAUACAAAAUGUAAGUUUAAAUCUUACAUUAACUUA